AUUCAGCCGAUGAGUCCCAAAUACGACGAAACGCGCGUCAAACUGGAU
rnacentral:hammerhead_ribozyme from 1 species